GCGGGUUUAGCUCAGUUGGGAGAGCGUCAGACUGAAGUCAAACUUCACCCAUCCAUCUGAAGGUCAUGUGUUCGAUCCACAUAAACCGCA